GACGAACGCUGGCGGCGUGCUUAACACAUGCAAGUCGAACGGAAAGGCCCUGCUUUUGUGGGGUGCUCGAGUGGCGAACGGGUGAGUAACACGUGAGUAACCUGCCCUUGACUUUGGGAUAACUUCAGGCAACUGGGGCUAAUACCGGAUAGGAGCUCCUGCUGCAUGGUGGGGGUUGGAAAGUUUCGGCGGUUGGGGAUGGACUCGCGGCUUAUCAGCUUGUUGGUGGGGUAGUGGCUUACCAAGGCUUUGACGGGUAGCCGGCCUGAGAGGGUGACCGGCCAAGUUAGGACGGAGAUACGGCCCAGACUCCUACGGGAGGCAGCAGUGGAGAAUAUUGCACAAUGGGCGGAAGCCUGAUGCAGCAACGCCGCGUGCGGGAUGACGGCCUUCGGGUUGUAAACCGCUUUCGCCUGUGACGAAGCGUGAGUGACGGUAAUGGGUAAAGAAGCACCGGCUAACUACGUG
rnacentral:rRNA from 1 species